CAAUAGCGUAUAUUAAAGUUGUUGCGGUUAAAAAGCUCGUAGUUGGAGUUCUGCCAGGUGACACUCGUCCGCCCAAGUGGUGUGUACAGGGUGUGCAUCUGGCCCUUUCAAGGGGAACGUGUCUGCACUUCAUUGUGUGGUGCGAGAUCCUUGACUUUUACUUUGAGGAAAUAAGAGUGUUCCAAGCAGGCUCUCGUCGUGCAUAGCUCAGCAUGGAAUAAUAGCAUUGGUCUUCGUUUCUACGCUGUUGGUUGCAAGAAGCGAGGUAAUGAUGAAGAGGGAUAGUUGGGGGCAUUCGUAUUUAACUGUCAGAGGUGAGAUUCUUGGAUUUGUUAAAGACGGACUACUGCGAAAGCAUCUGCCAUGGAUGGUUUCAUUGA
rnacentral:rRNA from 1 species